CCUACGGGAGGCAGCAGUGAGGAAUAUUGGUCAAUGGGCGGAAGCCUGAACCAGCCAAGUCGCGUGAGGGAUUAAGGCCCUGCGGGUCGUAAACCUCUUUUGCCGGGGAGCAGAGGUCCGGACGUGUCCGGGCCGGGAGAGUACCCGGAGAAAAAGCAUCGGCUAACUCCGGUCCAGCGGCCGCGGUAAUACGGAGGAUGCGAGCGUUAUCCGGAUUUAUUGGGUUUAAAGGGUGCGUAGGCGGGCAUUUAAGCCGGCGGCCAAAUGUCGGGGCUCAACCCCGGCCUGCCGUCGGAACUGGGUGCCUUGAGUGGGCGAGAGGUAUGCGGAAUGCGUGGUGUAGCGGUGAAAUGCAUAGAUAUCACGCAGAACCCCGAUUGCGAAGGCAGCAUACCGGCGCCCUACUGACGCUGAGGCACGAAAGUGCGGGUAUCGAACAGGAUUAGAUACCCGGGUAGUC
rnacentral:rRNA from 1 species